rnacentral:rRNA from 1 species
ACGAACGCUGGCGGCAUGCCUCACACAUGCAAGUCGCACGAGACCUUCGGGUCUAGUGGCGCACGGGUGCGUAACGCGUGGGAACCUGCCCUUAGGUUCGGAAUAACUCCCCGAAAGGGGUGCUAAUACCGGAUAAUGUCUUCGGACCAAAGAUUUAUCGCCUUUGGAUGGGCCCGCGUUGGAUUAGCUAGUUGGUAGGGUAAAAGCCUACCAAGGCGACGAUCCAUAGCUGGUCUGAGAGGAUGAUCAGCCGCACUGGGACUGAGACACGGCCCAGACUCCUACGGGAGGCAGCAGUGGGGAAUAUUGGACAAUGGGCGAAAGCCUGAUCCAGCAAUGCCGCGUGAGUGAUGAAGGCCUUAGGGUUGUAAAGCUCUUUUACCCGGGAUGAUAAUGACAGUACCGGGAGAAUAAGCUCCGGCUAACUCCGUG